rnacentral:tRNA from 1 species
ACGACUGUAGCUCAGUUGGUUAGAGCGCUGCACCGGAAUCGCAGGGCCGUAGGUUCAAUUCCUACCAGAGGAC